GUGAAUCAUCGAAUUUUUGAACGCAAAUUGCACUCUCUUCGGUGAGUAUGCGUGUUUGAGGGUCAGUAUUAAUAAAAUUCGGUGUGUUGCUUCCUUGUGACGUUUCGGGGGUUGGGUCAUCGUAAUAUAGCUUAGGUUUUAAGAGGAUUAAAAUUGACUCUUUUUGCGAAUUUUAGCUGUACAUAAAUUCUU
rnacentral:misc_RNA from 1 species